GGUGGUGGUGCAUGGCCGUUCUUAGUUGGUGGAGUGAUCUGUCUGGUUAAUUUCGAUAACGAACGAGACCCUGGCCUGCUAAAUAGGGUCGGUGACUUUGGUUACCGUAUCGCUUCUUAGAGGGACUUUGCGUGUCUAACGCAAGGAAGUUUGAGGCAACAACAGGUCUGUGAUGUCCUUAGAUGUUCUGGCCUGCACGCGCGUUACACUGAUGCAUGCAAUGAGUUCUUCCCUUGGCCGAGGGGGCUGGGUAAUCUUGUGAGGGUGCAUUUUGAAGGGGGUAGAUUAUUGCAAUUGUUAGUCUUCAACGAGGAAUUCCUUGUAGGCGCAAGUCAGCAGCUUGCGCCGAAUAAGUCCCUGUCUCUUGUAUACACCGUCUGUCGCCACAACCGAUGGAGGGUCCUGUAAAUUCAUCGGACUGGCAAGCCCCAAAGUGGGGCUGGUCGCAAAGUUGCGUAAAUAGAGCCCUCUAAAGGAUGCGAAAGUCGUAACACGGUUUCCGUAGGUGAACCUGCGGAAGGAUCAUUC
rnacentral:ncRNA from 1 species